CGCGUCCCCUCACGGCGCUGGCGCAGCGAUGGCGGAGGCCGUGGAGCGCACUGACGAGCUGGUCCGCGAGUACCUGCUCUUCCGCGGCUUCACGCACACACUGCGGCAGCUGGACGCCGAGAUCAAGGCGGACAAGGAGAGGGGCUUCCGGGUGGACAAGAUUGUGGACCAGCUGCAGCAGUUAAUGCAGGUGUAUGAUUUGGCUGCUCUUCGGGAUUAUUGGAGCUACCUGGAGCGUCGGCUCUUCAGCCGCUUGGAGGAUAUAUACAGACCCACCAUCAACAAACUGAAAACUAGCCUGUUCCGCUUUUAUCUUGUCUACACAAUCCAGACAUCAGCAGUUCUGUAGAGAGUUUAAAUAUGAAGGAAUGGCAGGACGGACUCAGGGCACUUCUACCCAACAUUAACAUCAACUUUGAUGGACUGCCCAAUUCUGCCUCCCUCUCCAACACCCACCACAGUGCACCAGCGUCCAACACUGCCACCACCGACAGCCUGAGUUGGGACGGCCCUGGCAGCUGGACAGACCCAGCCAUCAUCACAGGUAUUCCAGCAUCUUCAGGAAACAGUUUAGACUCUCUUCAAGGUGACAGUCCUCCACACUGGCUAAAAUCCCUUCAGGCCCUCACAGAGAUGGACGGCCCCGGUGCUGCUCCGUCACAAACCCACCACGGCGCCCCCUUCAGCACACAGAUCCCUCUGCACAGAGCCAGUUGGAAUCCCUACCCUCCUCCUUCCAAUCCUUCCAGCUUCCACUCCCCACCUCCAGGCUUUCAGACGGCCUUCAGACCCCCCAGCAAAACCCCCACAGAUUUACUACAGAGUUCAACACUGGACCACCCUUAGGGAAGGAGGAGAAACCAUUAGAAAAUGCAGGAUUUGUCCCACCCUGUUUUCUCCCUCUCAGCCCACCCACGGCUCCCUCCUCAUCUCUUAUGUUCUCAAGAAUCCAGUUCCUGAUCAGUUUUCUUUCUCCGUACCCCCAGAUGCAGUGCGAUCACAGGGUCAUUACCAUCUGUUUUUUAUUGUAAAAGUUUCUGUUGAUCCAGCAUUUGAGCGACACUGUUGAAUGUUUCUUCAAAAUGCCUUUUCAAGGAGGAAAAAAAGAGAAAUCAAAGGGCAGUCUGGAUACUUAGAAAAUUACUGUUUGUCUGUUGAGUGUAAUAAUGACAUAAUCUGCUUAGCAGAAAAUGACGAUUAAUCCAUAGGAAAGGUCAAGUAGACGCAUUAUCAACUGCAGAAGUUUGAAAACCAGGUUAAUUGAAGUGAGAUUGCUAAGUAAGUGCAUGGGGAAAACAGUGGUCCUGGCAUCCAUCUUGUCUUCAGCUUAUCACUAUUGUAGGGAAAGUGCUUUUAAUUUAAUUUUUAAUUCUUUUGGUAAGUUGAUGGAGAGGAUUUGAUUGUGUUGUUAAGCAAAAGAAUUUAUUGGAUGUUAAUAGAAAGACAAAUUGAUCUGUAUUAGUAACUGGCCUAUUGCUAAAGAGGUUAUCAGGAGGGGAGAAGUGAUUUUUUAAAGGAGAAAAAAGUUUUGGCUUUAGAUUUAAAGUAAAUUUAAACAUUUUAAAGAAAAUUAUUCACAGAUUUAAUACCUAUCCAUAAUUUAAAAGCCAAAAUAUAAGUGAUUUCUUCAGUCUUUCUCCUCUGUCAGAAUCUUGUUUUCUUUUACCUUAAAUUCCCCUGAGGAGGCCACUCUGAGACAGCACUGCUGUGGGGCCAUCUGCUCACCCUCAGGAGCAAAUCUCUGACCUCCUUGCCUGCAGCUUUUACUUAACCCUGUAGUUUCUGGACAUUUGUGCAGUAUUGAAAAGACAGGAGAAAAGAAAACAGAAACAUGGUUAUAACUUGACGCUAAAACUAAAAACAAGAAAAUGUAUCUUUUCUUCAGAAUUAAAACUAAAAUAAUAAAUAAAACAGAAAACUUGAUGAUGACCCUUGGGUUGUUCU